UCCGUAGGCGGAUCUGUAAGUCAGUGGUGAAAUCUCAUAGCUUAACUAUGAAACUGCCAUUGAUACUGCAGGUCUUGAGUAAGGUAGAAGUAGCUGGAAUAAGUAGUGUAGCGGUGAAAUGCAUAGAUAUUACUUAGAACACCAAUUGCGAAGGCAGGUUACUAUGUCUUAACUGACGCUGAUGGACGAAAGCGUGGGGAGCGAACAGGAUUAGAUACCCUGGUAGUCC
rnacentral:rRNA from 1 species